rnacentral:rRNA from 1 species
UACGUAGGGUACCAGCGUUGUCCGGAUUUACUGGGCGUAAAGAGCGCGCAGGCGGUCGUUUAAGUCGGGUGUGAAAGCCCCCGGCUCAACUGGGGAGGGUCAUUCGAUACUGCUCGACUCGAAGGCAGGAGAGGGAAGCGGAAUUCCCGGUGUAGUGGUGAAAUGCGUAGAUAUCGGGAGGAACACCAGUGGCGAAGGCGGCUUCCUGGCCUGUUCUUGACGCUGAGGCGCGAAAGCUAGGGGAGCAAACGGG